CACUAAAUGUAUUCAUAUUUAGCAUCUCCUGCUCCAUGAACUUUAAAUAGCCGCAGAAUCUGUGCUAAGGUAGCAUAAUCAAUUGCCUUUUAAUUGAAGGAUAGAAUGAAAGGAACUACGAUUUUAAACUGUCUCAUUUUAAUUUAUUUAAAUUAAUCUAAUGGUAACAAAGCCAUUAUACAAAAGAAAGACAACAAGACCCUGAUGAACUUUACAAAGUUAGACUGGGGUGGUCAUUAAACAAAACCUUUAAUUAAGCAACAAAUAGCCUGUAAAACAGCAUAAACAAGUUACCACAGGGAUAACAGUAUAAUUUUAAAUAAAAGAUCAUAUUUAAUUUAAAGUUUAUAACCUCGAUGUUGACUAAAACACCUGUUUCAAGCAAAAUUGAAAUAAGAUAGUCUGUUCGACUACUAAAAUUUUACA
rnacentral:rRNA from 1 species